rnacentral:lncRNA from 1 species
UACGUGCCAGUCGACUUUUUGGCAAAAUACUGCAUCUUCAGCCAGGAGAAGUUGGCGAAGUACAAAAGGGCUUUUGAAGCGCUGCAGGGAUGCCCUGUACAUCACUGUGCUCCUGUGGGUGUUGCACAAAAGGGACCUUGGAUCUGGCCCUCUCUGUCUGUGCCGUACAGUCUCCUCUCUGAGCUGCUCAGGCAGGUUUUCAAAACCAUGAUUUCUUUGCAGGCAGCAUACAAAAACAGACGGCCGCUCUUCUGCGUUUGGACAAUAGCUGCAUAAAUGUCGUUCCCUUGGAACACGGUUUAAUAACGUUAUUAAUACAUUAACAAAGUUUCUAUAAAGUAAGACACGUCGGUGCUAAAGUACAGCUGGAGGGAGUCCAAGGCCUCGACAAAAGCACGGACCGAAAUGGCAGCGGGAAAGUAACGCCGACCGCACGUCUAAACACCAAGAGGUAAAAGCAUCGUGUAUUAAAAAACGUAUCAAGAUAUACACAUUUUAAACCAUUUGUACAAAACCUCUAUAAAUCUCUCUCUCUCUUAUGUACAAAAAUAGCUUAAUAUAUCCCCAAACUGGUCAGGGAGGAUACAAAUAGAUUUUCU